GAUGAACGCUAGCGGCAGGCUUAAUACAUGCAAGUCGAGGGGCAGCAGUUUUGUAGCAAUACAGAAGCUGGCGACCGGCAAACGGGUGCGGAACACGUACGCAACCUUCCUUUAACUGGAAGAUAGCCCACCGAAAGGUGGAUUAAUACUCCAUAAUAUAUUGAAGAGGCAUCUUUUCGAUAUUAAAGCUCCGGCGGUUAAAGAUGGGCGUGCGUCUGAUUAGGUAGUUGGCGGGGUAACGGCCCACCAAGCCUUCGAUCAGUAGCUGAUGUGAGAGCAUGAUCAGCCACACGGGCACUGGGACACGGGCCCGACUCCUACGGGAGGCAGCAGUAAGGAAUAUUGGUCAAUGGACGCAAGUCUGAACCAGCCAUGCCGCGUGGAGGAUGAAGGCCCUCUGGGUUGUAAACUUCUUUUCUUUGGGACGAAACCCCUGUUUCUACGGGGACUGACGGUACCAGAGGAAUAAGCACCGGCUAACUCCGUGCCAGCCGCCGCCGUAA
rnacentral:rRNA from 1 species